rnacentral:rRNA from 1 species
GACGAUGCUGGGGCGAGGGAUCCGAGAAAAGCCUUGGGGGCAAGACGACGUCCGUACUAAAACUGACACAGGUAGGCGAGGAGAGUAUCCUCAGGCGCUCGAGAGAACUGCGGUUAAGGAACUAGGCAAUCUAACCCCGUAACUUAGGGAGAAGGGGUCCCCACCUCUGGUGGGGCGCAGAGAAGCAGACUGGGCGACUGUUUAUCAAAAACACAGCACUGUGCCAACUCGCAAGAGGACGUAUACAGUGUGACGCCUGCUCGGUGCGGGAAGGUUAAGGAAGUCGGUUAGGGCC